rnacentral:rRNA from 1 species
CGGUUGCAUCUGCGAUCCUUGGAACUUGGGAGUGCCUUCGGGAGCGCAGUGACAGGUGGUGCAUGGCUGUCGUCAGCUCGUGUCGUGAGAUGUUGGGUUAAGUCCCGCAACGAGCGCAACCCACGUCUUUAGUUGCCAGCAUUUAGUUGGGCACUCUAGAGAGACUGCCGGUGAUAAACCGGAGGAAGGUGUGGAUGACGUCAAGUCAUCAUGCCCCUUACAUCCUGGGCUACACACGUACUACAAUGCUACGGACAAAGGGCAGCAAACUCGCGAGAGCUAGCAAAUCCCAUAAAACCGUGGCUCAGUUCAGAUCGUAGGCUGCAACUCGCCUACGUGAAGGAGGAAUCGCUAGUAAUCGCAGGUCAGCAUACUGCGGUGAAUACGUUCCCGGGUCUUGUACACACCG